rnacentral:tRNA from 1 species
GCCUAGCUAGCUGAGUUGGUAUGGCAUGAGAUUCUUAAUCUCAGACUUGUGGGUUUGAGUCCCAUGUUGGGCA